rnacentral:misc_RNA from 1 species
GAAAUGCGAUAAGUAAUGUGAAUUGCAGAAUUCAGUGAAUCAUCGAAUCUUUGAACGCACCUUGCGCUCCUUGGUAUUCCUUGGAGCAUGCCUGUUUGAGUAUCAUGAAAUCUUCAAAGUAAAUCUUUUGUUAACUCAAUUGGUUUCUACUUUGGUAUUGGAGGUCUUUGCAGCUUCACACCUGCUCCUCUUUGUUCAUUAGCUGGAUCUCAGUGUUAUGCUUGGUUCCACUCGGCGUGAUAAGUUAUCUAUCGCUGAGGACACUGUAAAAGGUGGCCAAGGUAAAUGCAGAUGAACCGCUUCUAAGAGUCCAUUGACUUGGACAAUACUUUUAUGAUCUGAUCUCAAAUCAGGGAGGACUACCCGCUGAACUUAAGC